rnacentral:rRNA from 1 species
UGGGGAAUAUUGCGCAAUGGGCGAAAGCCUGACGCAGCGACGCCGCGUGAGGGAUGAAGGUUUUCGGAUCGUAAACCUCUGUCAGAAGGGAAGAAACCGCACUGUGCUAAUCAGCAGUGCCUUGACGGUACCUUCAAAGGAAGCACCGGCUAACUCCGUGCCAGCAGCCGCGGUAAUACGGAGGGUGCAAGCGUUAAUCGGAAUUACUGGGCGUAAAGCGCACGUAGGCUGCUUUGUAAGUCAGGGGUGAAAUCCCACGGCUCAACCGUGGAACUGCCUGUGAUACUGCUUAGCUUGAAUCCGGGAGAGGGUGGCGGAAUUCCAGGUGUAGGAGUGAAAUCCGUAGAUAUCUGGAGGAACAUCAGUGGCGAAGGCGGCCACCUGGACCGGUAUUGACGCUGAGGUGCGAAAGCGUGGGGAGCAAACAGG